rnacentral:rRNA from 1 species
AUUGCCCUAGUAACGGCGAGUGAAGCGGCAACAGCUCAAAUUUGAAAUCUGGCUCUUUUAGAGUCCGAGUUGUAAUUUGCAGAGGGCGCUUUGGCUUUGGCAGCGGUCCAAGUUCCUUGGAACAGGACGUCACAGAGGGUGAGAAUCCCGUACGUGGUCGCUGGCUAUUGCCGUGUAAAGCCCCUUCGACGAGUCGAGUUGUUUGGGAAUGCAGCUCUAAAUGGGAGGUACAUUUCUUCUAAAGCUAAAUAUUGGCCAGAGACCGAUAGCGCACAAGUAGAGUGAUCGAAAGAUGAAAAGCACUUUGGAAAGAGAGUCAAACAGCACGUGAAAUUGUUGAAAGGGAAGCGCUUGCAGCCAGACUUGCUUGCAGUUGCUCAUCCGGGCUUUUGCCCGGUGCACUCUUCUGCAGGCAGGCCAGCAUCAGUUUGGGCGGUAAGAUAAAGGUCUCUGUCACGUACCUCUCUUCGGGGAGGCCUUAUAGGGGAGACGACAUAUUACCAGCCUGGACUGAGGUCCGCGCAUCUGCUAGGAUGCUGGCGUAAUGGCUGUAAGCGGCCCGUCUUGAAACACGGACCAAGGAGUCUAACAUCUAUGCGAGUGUUUGGGUGUCAAGCCCGAGCGCGUAAUGAAAGUGAACGGAGGUAGGAACCCGCAAGGGUGCACUAUCGACCGAUCCUGAUGUCUUCGGAAGGAUUUGAGUAAGAGCAUGGCUGUUGGGACCCGAAAGAUGGUGAACUAUGCUUGAAUAGGGUGAAGCCAGAGGAAACUCUGGUGGAGGCUCGCAGCGGUUCUGACGUGCAAAUCGAUCGUCAAAUUUGGGCAUAGGGGCGAAAGACUAAU